UUCAAUAGGUGCAAGUGCUAGCGCAUCCUCUGCAUUUGGAGCAAUGCCGACACCAGAACUCAAGUUAUGGGCAGGUUGGGUGGCAGCAGGUUGAGGACCUUCAAUAGCCAAUGGACCUAAAAGAUCUCCCAGGACAUCAGGUGAAGGUACUGAAGGAGGUUGAGGAUCCACAACAGUCAAAGUUCCAUCUGGUUCAGACGCCCUUUGAUCCGCUAAGUUGCGAUCCG
rnacentral:misc_RNA from 1 species